rnacentral:rRNA from 1 species
UAAAGGUAUUCCGGUAGACGAUGGGGAUGCGUUCCAUUAGAUAGUAGGCGGGGUAACGGCCCACCUAGUCUUCGAUGGAUAGGGGUUCUGAGAGGAAGGUCCCCCACAUUGGAACUGAGACACGGUCCAAACUCCUACGGGAGGCAGCAGUGAGGAAUAUUGGUCAAUGGGCGAGAGCCUGAACCAGCCAAGUAGCGUGAAGGAUGACUGCCCUAUGGGUUGUAAACUUCUUUUAUAAAGGAAUAAAGUCGGGUAUGGAUACCCGUUUGCAUGUACUUUAUGAAUAAGGAUCGGCUAACUCCGUGCCAGCAGCCGCGGUAAUACGGAGGAUCCGAGCGUUAUCCGGAUUUAUUGGGUUUAAAGGGAGCGUAGGUGGAUGUUUAAGUCAGUUGUGAAAGUUUGCGGCUCAACCGUAAAAUUGCAGUUGAUACUGGAUAUCUUGAGUGCAGUUGAGGCAGGCGGAAUUCGUGGUGUAGCGGUGAAAUGCUUAGAUAUCACGAAGAACUCCGAUUGCGAAGGCAGCCUGCUAAGCUGCAACUGACAUUGAGGCUCGAAAGUGUGGGUAUCAAACAGGAUUAGAUACCCUGGUAGUCCACACGGUAAACGAUGAAUACUCGCUGUUUGCGAUAUACUGCAAGCGGCCA